rnacentral:rRNA from 1 species
AUGAUGGUCGAGGACAAGCAAGAGAGGAAUAGCUGCAGAAGGGCGUCCUACCAAAAUAUGCCGGUCGAGGAGAAGCAAGAGACAAAUGCCCGCCGAAGAGCACGUGUGCAAAACAUACCACCCAAGGAGAAACAGAAGAUGCUAACUCAACGCAACGCAAUACUCGCGGCUAGGCGCAACAUCCCUUGCGCUGAAUCCAUCGCAAUGCCGCGCCCAGAUGCAGCUACCUUAGCUACGCCCAACCUGAUGUCGACCACUCAUGCCAGAGACCCCGCCGCUUCAACUCCUUCCCCCCAGUUAGCGAGUAAGGCUGGUUACAGCUUCGAAUCAGACGGUAAUCCUCCCAUCUUUACUCUACUUGUUAUGUCCAUGUGCGUUGGACCAGUAUUUACCAGCUCCUCAACCAUGCAGGCGAGUACCUUAGUCGUACCCUGGACAAUAAUGAGGCUCCCGGCGAACUCAUAA